GGCGCAGGGUACUGGGCUUGGUAGCCCAGGGCGGACUUCAGAUCCGUCGAGUUCCGUUGGGAACUCGGGGUUCGAUUCCCCCCCUGCGCCG
rnacentral:tRNA from 1 species